AGAAAUUAGUAUUUGGGUCAACUCAUGUAUUUUUCAACCAUGAAAUGAAAAUCUCAGUGUUCACAUUCCAAUUCAUACAUGAAAGCAUCAUGGUGCUAUUAGUUGACUAUUGUGUUAAUUUAUUAUUGUCUUAGUUAAUGUCUUCAGAGACACCCUGAAGUUAUACCUCUACUUUCAGUGCACUAAUAUUGUGGCGAAAAGAGGGGCACAUGUUCCUCUGGGCCAGCGGGUUUCCUCAGGGAAUUCUAUGUUAGCUGAGGGGAAAGAAAGUGAUUUCGAAGGAAGGUGAGGGAAUCUCCACCCCAAAUAUUUCAAAUAUGGGAUCAGUCUUACCGCCCCCACUUUUUUUGAGCUCAUAAAAACUACAAGAAUGUGUUGGACACUUAUACUACUGUGACGAGUUCCUAGGUGCUCUUGUGGACACAAAAGAAUCCAAAAGAGACCUUAGUCUUCCAGGUUAAAGCAAGAGACUCAAUAUGAAAAUGGCACAAAAACUCAAAGGGAGAGAAUUUAGGAAGGCUUCCUGGAGGAGACCAUAUUUAAGCUGGUUCUGAAGGGCUGUUAAGACUUGAAUAGGCAAAAGGAUGGAAAAAAUCAUCCUAGGUGGAAAGCAAGAGAAAAGAUUCCAAAAAUGGAGUGGAUGCCAUGUGAACAGAUAUCUCACCUUCAGAAACAGAAGUGUUAUCACCAGUGCUUUCAGUAACUGCAUAUUUAUACAACAGCCAAACUUCAACCUGUAUUCAGUUUUUAUCUGUCUCCUGGGAAUGUAAUUUGGAAAAAAAGUUACCAAUGUAUUUACAACCAAAUUUCAGAUCUUCAACAUUACAGAAGGUAAGAAAUGUGAACACAAUGGAAUUCUUCUAUCAUCCUUAUUUUGUGAGAUCUGAUAACUGUAUACUCACCUUCCCAGUCAUGUCGCGUUAGCUUUCUCCCUGUCUUUGUGGCUUGUAGAUUUCUGUCUCCAGGGGCAUGAUUUGCAUUGUGGUGAUCCAGAUAUGGAUAAGGCAACACCCAGUGUCUUAAUAGGGUCGUGCCUUCCAAACAAAUAAUUCACUGUGGCUCUAUGAUUGUGUCUUUCUGCAUUUGCCAACUUAAGCUGUUUUAGCCAAACCACCUUCUACAUAGGCCUAAUAAUACCUUCAGGGCUAGAUGAAGGUGUUUGGCAUGUAUUUUUUUCCAUGGUCGGGGCAACAUUGGGCAGUGCUGCCUCUGACUGUGAGCAGCUUGUGGGUCUCCAGGGACCAUUUCACUGGACUUCAGCUUAAACAUUGUUUAUACAUGGCCAUGGAUUUCCUUUACCAACAGCUGCCAGUCCAAUGGCAUUAGCCACACCUGCCAUGCGUUUCCACCCCUCCUCAACCAGGUGGUAAGCACAGGAGAUGAACUGGUGUUAGCAGAAAAAGCCAUACUGAUGGUCUAGUGCAGUGGGAUCACCAGGAAACUUGUUAGAAAUGCAAUUCCCUGGCUCCACCCUACAUCUCUGGGUGAUCUGGGUGUAGACCAUAACAUUUGAGAACUGCUGCUCUAGCUUAAUACAUCAGAAUCUUCCACUUCAUUAUUUUAUUUCCAUAUUUAUAUAUCCCUCUCUUCUCCCUUGACAUUUUCUGUCAUGGUUUUGUUUUCUAAAUGUCUUUGAGCUGUCUUGUUGAUGGGGGUGCACCCUGACUAAUGGUGUGCUGGCAAAGGUUUAACAACAGGCUCCAGAGGAGGGCAGACUUGAAGUGGAGCCUUUGGGGGCAGUGUGAGGGGUGCUGAUUUCAAACAACUCAUCUGGUAAUACUGAACAUGAAGUUGGGAAGAGAUGUGCAUAAUUGAAGUGGGUGAGAGCCAGUCUAGCACCCUGUGGAGAGGUACCAAUAAUUCUGUAGGUAUUUGCUCAAAUUUAACUCAAUGGGGGUUUAGAUUGGGUUUAGAUUGAGUCAUUCGUUGCAGGUCAUUUGUUGAAUCAUUGAAUACUUUUGGUUGUUAAGGUGACUGAAAUACUCAGUUGAUGUCCUUUAAGAUCACUGAAAAUAUUUAAAAUCAGCUUACAUAUGGCAUUUUGGAAAUGCCACAUACGUAAUAGAUUAAAACCCACAACUAUAUUUGCUGCCUUUCCUAUGCAUGUCCUGUCAACAUUAUUGUUUGGUGGACUGUAAGCCCUAAGACAACAUGGACCUUGUUUUGCUCUCCAUUCUAUUCUCAUUACUUAUACUCAGCAUUGUUUUUAAAAAAGUUGGUUGAUAUAAUAAAUGUGUAG
rnacentral:lncRNA from 1 species